rnacentral:rRNA from 1 species
UACGUAGGGUGCAAGCGUUGUCCGGAAUUAUUGGGCGUAAAGAGCUCGUAGGCGGUUCGGCAAGUCGGGUGUGAAAUUUCGAGGCUCAACCUCGAAACGCCACUCGAUACUGCUGUGACUGGAGUCCGGUAGAGGAGUGCGGAAUUCCUGGUGUAGCGGUGAAAUGCGCAGAUAUCAGGAGGAACACCUAUUGCGAAGGCAGCUCGCUGGGACGUAACUGACGCUGAGACGCGAAAGCGUGGGGAGCAAACAGG